rnacentral:rRNA from 1 species
GCAGCAGUUGGGAAUCUUGCACAAUGGGGGAAACCCUGAUGCAGCGACGCCGCGUGGAGGAUGAAGGGUUUAGGCUCGUAAACUCCUUUUUCAGGGAAAGACUUAGGACGGUACCCUGAGAAUAAGCACCGGCUAACUACGUGCCAGCAGCCGCGGUAAGACGUAGGGUGCAAGCGUUGUCCGGAUUUACUGGGCGUAAAGAGCUCGUAGGCGGUCUGUUAAGUGAGAAGUGAAAUCCCCAGCGCUCAACGCGGGAACUGCUUUUCAUACUGGCAGACUUGAGGAAUGCAGAGGUUAGUAGAAUUCCUGGUGUACCGGUGACAUGGGUUGAUAUCAGGAGGAAUACCAAUGGCGAAGGCAGCUAACUGGGCAUUAUCUGACGCUGAGGAGCGAAAGCGUGGGUAGCAAACAGGAUUAGAUACCCUGGUAGUCCACGCCCUAAACGAUGGAUACUAGGCGUAAGAGGUAUCGACCCCUCUUGUGCCGCAGCUAACGCA